rnacentral:tRNA from 1 species
GAAAAGGUGGCUGAGAGGUUUAAAGUAUUGGUUUGCUAAAUCAACAUGUUUUAACAUCAUGGGUUCGAAUCCCAUUCUUUUCU